CCUACGGGAGGCAGCAGUGGGGAAUAUUGCACAAUGGGGGAAACCCUGAUGCAGCGACGCCGCGUGAGUGAAGCAGCAUUUCGGUAUGUAAAGCUCUAUCAGCAGGGCAGAAAAUGACGGUACCUGAUUAAGAAGCCCCGGCUAACUACGUGCCAGCAGCCGCGGUAAAACGUAGGGGGCGAGCGUUGUCCGGAAUGACUGGGCGUAAAGGGUGCGUAGGCGGCAUAAUAAGUUAGAAGUGAAAUACCCAGAGCUUAACUCGGGUGCUGCUUCUAAGACUGUUGAGCUUGAGUGCGGGAGAGGUUAAUGGAAUUCCUGGUGUAGCGGUGGAAUGCGUAGAUAUUAGGAGGAACACCAGAGGCGAAGGCGAUUAACUGGACCGUAACUGACGCUGAGGAACGAAAGUGUGGGUAGCAAACAGGAUUAGAUACCCCGGUAGUC
rnacentral:rRNA from 1 species